rnacentral:rRNA from 1 species
GACAGAGGGUGCAAACGUUGUUCGGAAUUACUGGGCGUAAAGCGUGCGCAGGCGGUUCGCUGUGUCCUGUGUGAAAGCCCCGGGCUUAACCUGGGAAUGGCAUGGGAAACUGGCGAGCUUGAGUGCGGCAGAGGGGGGUGGAAUUCCGCGUGUAGCAGUGAAAUGCGUAGAGAUGCGGAGGAACACCGAUGGCGAAGGCAGCCCCCUGGGUCGACACUGACGCUCAGGCACGAAAGCGUGGGGAGCAAACAGG